GGGGAAUAUUGGACAAUGGGCGAAAGCCUGAUCCAGCGACGCCGCGUGGGUGAAGAAGGCCUGCGGGUUGUAAAGCCCUUUCGGUGGGGAAGAAAAGCCUCGAGUUAACACCUCGGGGUCUUGACGUAACCCAUAGAAGAAGCACCGGCUAACUCUGUGCCAGCAGCCGCGGUAAUACAGAGGGUGCGAGCGUUAAUCGGAAUUACUGGGCGUAAAGCGCGCGUAGGCGGCUUUGCAAGUCGGGUGUGAAAUCCCCAGGCUUAACCUGGGAACUGCAUUCGAGACUGCAUUGCUAGAGUAUGGGAGAGGGAAGUGGAAUUUCCGGUGUAGCGGUGAAAUGCGUAGAUAUCGGAAGGAACACCGGUGGCGAAGGCGGGUCUCUGGGCCGAUACUGACGCUGAGGAGCGAAAGCGUGGGGAGCGAAC
rnacentral:rRNA from 1 species